rnacentral:snoRNA from 1 species
UGACUGUGAUGAACACUUAUCCCAAAGCUGAUCAUUUUGAUGAAACUUCCGGAUCUGACUUCUGAGUU